UACGUAGGGACCAAGCGUUGUUCGGAUUUACUGGGCGUAAGGGCGCGUAGGCGGCGUGGUAAGUCAGCUGUGAAAUCUCCGAGCUUAACUCGGAACGGUCAGCUGAUACUGCUGUGCUAGAGUACAGAAAGGGCAAUCGGAAUUCUUGGUGUAGCGGUGAAAUGCGUAGAUAUCAAGAGGAACACCUGAGGCGAAGGCGGGGUUGCUAGGCUGAUACUGACGCUGAGGCGCGAAAGCUAGGGGAGCAAACGGG
rnacentral:rRNA from 1 species